rnacentral:rRNA from 1 species
UACUCCUACGGGAGGCAGCAGUGAGGAAUAUUGGUCAAUGGACGGAAGUCUGAACCAGCCAAGUAGCGUGCAGGACGACGGCCCUAUGGGUUGUAAACUGCUUUUGUAUGGGGAUAAAGUUAGGGACGUGUCCCUAUUUGCAGGUACCAUACGAAUAAGGACCGGCUAAUUCCGUGCCAGCAGCCGCGGUAAUACGGAAGGUCCAGGCGUUAUCCGGAUUUAUUGGGUUUAAAGGGAGCGUAGGCUGGAGAUUAAGUGUGUUGUGAAAUGUAGACGCUCAACGUCUGACUUGCAGCGCACACUGGUUUCCUUGAGUACGCACAACGUUGGCGGAAUUCGUCGUGUAGCGGUGAAAUGCUUAGAUAUGACGAAGAACUCCGAUUGCGAAGGCAGCUGACGGGGGCGCAACUGACGCUUAAGCUCGAAGGUGCGGGUAUCAAACAGGAUUAGAUACCCUGGUAGUCCGCACAGUAAACGAUGGAUGCCCGCUGUUGGUACCUGGUAUCAGCGGCUAAGCGAAAGCAUUAAGCAUCCCACCUGGGGAGUACGCCGGCAACGGUGAAACUCAAAUGAAUUGACGGA